rnacentral:lncRNA from 1 species
CUUGAUUCCUAUUCCAGUGCUCUUUCCCCUGUUUAAUACUUUCUGCCCUAACAUGCAUGUCUUCAACAACUCUCUAACUGGUACGCCUUGUCAUCACCCUCCUAUACUCCUUAAACUCCCUGCCCAAUACUCUACAGCCAUUAGAGUCACUCCUUAUCUGCUGUCUCCAGAACACCUUUGCAAAAAGUUGUACUUUACACCUAGGAAAAAAGGCCCUUGGAUAUUCUAUUGUCUGCACUGAUUGAGGCAACGAGAAAGCUAAUGGAAAUAGUGGAUCUUGAGAUGAACAAGACAUACCCCUAAUUCGUAAGACACCCGAGGUCUAGUGGAAAAACAAAUCCCUAAAGCAGUAGUAAAACCGCAGUCAUGAUAAAAUGGAAGAAGCAACAGGAUUGUACCCACCUAUAACGAGAAAGCUUAACUUACUGACAUAUUCUCAUUGCUGAAGACUCUGUCUGAAUGAGGAUUUCAAUCUCAAGUCUAGGAUGUGAUUUCAUCUGGUAAAUGUCUUAUGGAAGGCUGAGGAGCAGCCUAAUGAGGUACUGCUGAGUUGGGAGGAGGUGGGAGGAGCUGAGAGGGCUAUCUGGACUCACUUCCCUCAAAAUGAAACCUUGAUAUUUUCAAAGCUUGUGUCCCUGGAGCCCUCACUUGGGUUAGGGGGAGACCCCUGAUUUUAUUUAUUCAUGCUAGGGAUGGUAAUACCUUGUUCUCUAGGUCCUGGGCUUUCUAAAGAAGAUUAUUUUUAGCUCUAAAGUUAAAUGACACAUUGUUUGGGGGAGGAGGGGAGAUCCUUUGAUGGGGUCCUUUAAAAGAGUGCCCCACCCCCAACGCUGUCCUCUUGCCUUGGCAGGACCUCUUGGCAGGACCUGUCUGAGUACUUUGGACAAAGACAGUAAGCAUCAUUGCUUCUGUUUGCGGCUAGUUUUUCUUUCUGUUUCCAGGUGAAGGGGAGAGGCAGACACGGAAGAAGCGCAUCUGUAGCUAAGAAAGAAAUACACUGACCCCAUUUCCAGUGGUUGAGCUUCUCUCCAAGUAGGUAGAUGCUGGCGAUGAAGACGUAGCUGAGAGAGAAGAAAGCUGCUAGACCCAAGAGGCUGAGUUUGGCAAACACAGGAUACACCCAGGUACCCGUCUCAAAGUAGAGCCAUAGGAUGCUGCAGGAAAUAAGAAGUCGUGGUGGUUAUAGCAGGAGGAGAAAAACAAGCCAUUUUCUCAUCAGGAUUAAUGAGGUACUGGUACCCAGGCAGGGGAAGAGAACCCAUCAGGGACGUUUGUCAACAGCUGUAGUAUUCCCACAAACCUAAAGAAGUGAGGCUUUUCUGGGUAAAUCAACUUGAUUCAAUAAGACAUGCUGUUUGAUGGGCUGGGCUGGGCUGUUUUACCUAAUCCACUUAAAUUCAACAUUGGUGAAAAAAUAUAAGAGAACAUAGGGCCAGGCACUGUGGCUCAUGCCUGUAAUCCCAGCACUUUGGGAGGCUGAGGGGGGUGGAUCACCUGAGGUCAGGAGUUCGAGAGCAGCCUGGCCAACAUGAUGAAACCCCAUCUCCACUAAAAAUACAAAAAAUUAACUGGGCAUGGUGGCUCAGGCCUGUAAUCCCAGCUACUAGGGAGGCGGAGGAAGAAGAAUCGCUUGAACCUGGGAGGCAGAGGUUGCAGUGAUCCAAGAUCACGCCACUGCACUCUAGCCUGGGCAACAAGAGUGAAACUUUGUCUCAAAAACAAACAAACAAACAAACAAACAAACAUAGAACCAUCGUUAGCUAAAGAACUAAAGAGAGUAUGUGGGAACAUGAAUGAUCCCUUUCCCUGAGAGGUAUGGCCUGCUGAGACAUUGAACCUGCUAUUAUGGCAUUGAUUUUGCUGGCUCUAAGCCAGAGAAGUGGGGUUUGCUUUUUUGGAUCUAAGAAUCAGGUGCAGCUUUCCCUUAGCUCUCCAAGUCUGCGGGGAUGAGGGAGCAGAGAUAGAGCGUUAUUGCCCUAACACAAUAUGCCUAGGAUUUAACUGUCGGCCCUGAUUUUCACUCAUGCAUAUAGCCAUAAAUAGAGUGUUAGGCAGUAAUGCAUGGAUUUGCAGGGAGGCUCAGAUCUUGCUUAUGUGAGGAUAGGCUGUAAGUCAUUUCUGGAAGCCGAGAGAAGGAAAAGAAAUGCUAGGAGAAGAGCCAUGAUGUCUAAGUGAAGCCUAAAAAUGCAGUUUGCUGGAAACCAACUGCACUGGAAGGUGCCAAAGUCUGAAAUAACUUUAAAAAAUUAAAUGUGGGGAAGCUGAUGCAUCAGCUACAGUUCAUCAUUGGUUAGGAGCACAGAAUCUGGAACUGGGCUUCUGUGAUUCAAACCCCAGCUCUGCCACCUAGUAGCUAUGUUACCUCCAGCAAUUUCAUCAACCUUUCUGUCCCCAUCUCCUCAAUGUGUAAAGUGAAGAUCCAAACAGCAUACACCUUCUAAGGCUGUUGUAAAGAUUACGGGAGUUAACACAUGUAAAAGACACAGAACAGUGCUUGGCACAUUGUAAUAUUUGACAAGAGUUCAAAAGCUUCCAUCUCCACUGAGGGAUGGCACAAUGGGAGUGCUCUCAGAAAGCCUUCUUUGAAGCUGCUGAUCUCUUGUAGCAAUUAGGAUAGGCCAGGUUAUGCUUCAAAAACAAUAUUUAAAUUUGAAUAUCCCACGUUGUCAAAGGAAUUCAGAUGGAAGAAUGAAAUUCUGUGCUUAAACUUUCAGAAACCCAAGGGUGAUCUCUGUCAUUUCAAAUACUUGAAGUUUGUUAAAUGGUUUGUGGAAGAGUCAAGGGCUAUAUUCAGGACCGGGAGUAGGGUGAAGCAAGAGAGGCCCUAGGGUGUAAAACUUAAGGGAUCAUCUCUGCAACAAAGGACACAAUAAACAGUGUGAAAAGGCAAUCCAUGGAAUGGGAAACAAUAUUUCUAAUCAUAUCUCUAAUAAGGGGUUAAUAUCCAAAAUAUGUAAAAUAUUCCUGUAACUCAACAAUAACAAAAAACCCAAAUAACUCAAUUAAAAAUGGACAAAGGACUUGAAUAGACCUUUUACAGAGAAGAUACAUAAAAGGCCAACAAAUGCAUGAAAGGAUGUUCAACAUCACUAAUAACUAGAAGAAAUGCAAAUCAAAAUGACAGUGAGAUAUUGUCUUACACUCAUUAGGAUGGAUACUAUAUUUUUUUUAAAAAGACAAGAUAACAAGUGUUAGUAAGGACAUAGAGAAAUUGGAACCCUUGUUCAUUGUUGGUAGGAAUGGAAGAUGGUACAUCUGCCUUGGAAAACUAUAUGGUGGUUCUCCCCAAAAUUAAAAUAGAAUUACCAUCUGAUCCAGCAAUUCCACUUCUGGGUACACACCCAAAAGAACUGAAAACAUGGCUAACAUGGUGAAACCCCAUCUCUACUAAAUAUACAAAAAAUUAGCCAGGCGUGGUGGCAGGUGCCUGUAGUCCCAGCUACUUGGGAGGCUGAGGGCAGGAGAAUGGCAUGAACCUGGGAGGCAGAGCUUGCAGUGAUUGGAGAUCGCGCCACUGCACUCCAGCCUGGGCGAGAGAAUGAGACUCUAUCUCAAAAAAAAAAAAAAAAGGAAUUGAAAACAGGGAUCUGAAGAGAUAUUUGUACACCCAUGUUUAUAGCAGCAUUAUUCACAAUAGCCUGAAGGUGGAAUCUCCCCAAGUGCCCACUGAUAGAUGAAUGGAUAAAUAAAAUGUGGCUUAUACAUAGGCAUUAAGAAGGAAGAACAUUCUGACACAUGCUACCACACAGAUCAACUUUGAAGACAUGGUAAGUGAAAUAAACCAGUCGUAAAAGGACAAAUACUGUAUAAUUCCAUUUAUAUGAGAAACCUAGAAUGUCAGAUUCAUAGAGGGAGAAAGUAGAAUGGUGCUUGCCAUGUGGUUGCGGGAGGAGGCAGCGGGGAAUGCUAUCUAUGGUUUCAAUAUGGUUUGUUUGUUCGUACCAAAACUCAUGUUGAAAUUUGGUCCUGCGUGUGUUGGUGUUGGGAGGGGGAGCCUAGUGGGAGGUGUUCGGGUCAUGGGGUUGGAUCUCCUAAGAAUGGUUUGAUGCUGUUCUUGUGAUAGUAAGCUCUAGAAAUGGAUUUUUUCUAUGAGAAUGGGUUGUUAUAAAUCUAGGGUGCCCCUCAGGUUUUGCCCUUUUCACACGUGUCCAUUUCCCCUUUGAUCUUCUCCACCACAUUGUGAGGCAGCAGUAAGGCCCUUGUCGGCAGCCAGGGCCAUGCCCUUGAACUUCUCAGCCUGCAGAAUAUGAACUAAAUAAACCUCUUUUCAAUCUCUGAUAUCCUUUUAUAGCAACACAAAAUGGACUGAGCCAGGGAGUUAUUGUUUAACGGGUAGACUUUCAGUUUGGGAAGAUGUAAAAGUUCUGGAGAUGGAUGGUGGUGAUGGAUGCACAACAAGGUAAAUGUACAAAAUGCUACAGAGCUUAAAAAUGAUCAAAAUGGUAAAUCACUUAAAAUCGUUAAAGUUGUAAAUAUUGUGUACCUUUUACCACAAUUUAAAUGUAUCUAAGGAGGUGUCAAUUUUAGGGUCAUAUAAAUGUAGGGUUGGCAUUUAGUUCCUCGCCUGGGCCCUGCUGGUAUCACUCUGCUUUCCCAAACUUGUCUGGAUGUUCCUCCCAGAUUGAGAAUGAGGUGACUAGAACAAACAAUAAUUAUCAUCAUUGUUACUAAUAUUAGAAUUCUUUUUCUUUUUUUAGAUGGAGUCUCACUCUGUUGCUCAGGCUGGAGUGCAGUGGUGCAAUCUCGGCUCACUGCAAGCUCCGCUUCCUGGGUUCAGCGAUUCUCCUGCCUCACCCUCCCGAGUAGCUGGGUUUACAGGCGUGCGCCACCAUGCCCAGCUAAUUUUUGUAUUUUUUGUAAAGACAGGGUUUCACCAUGUUGGUCAGGAUGGUCUCAAACUCCUGACCUUGUGAUCCGCCCACCUCAGCCUCCCAAAGUGCUGGGAUUACAAGCAUGAGCCACCAUGGCCAGCCUAGAGUUCUUUAAGAUAUGCGUUCCAUGGAUGCAUUACAGGAUGCCCACAGUGAUUCUUACCUGCAUGGCUACUUCUCAUGGCAGGACAAAGAAGGUAUAUGGCAUAGAAAAUAAACAGUUUCAAGUAGAUAGGGCUAGGAGUUUGGAGUCAGUGAGGAGCUCUGAAUGUACUCCAAAAAGUUGCAUCACUUAGUUCACUUUGUUUACUUUAUAUAGUUGAAAUUAGGGCUUCUGAAUUCCCAUGCACAUUUAUGUAAGAUAGUCUAUAAAUAAGGACAUCCCCCCAGAGGCUUGGAAAAUUUCUGUUUACUUCAUGUUUGUUUCCUUCAGCAUAAGGCUUGUAAAAGAAAGUUCCCGAGGUAAGCUAAUGAAUUGUGUACUUUCACAGAUAAAGUGUAAGGAAAGUUAUAGGUGUGGUACCUGACAGUAGGAAAAUUAACAGAGAUACAGAGUAUGAGGCAAGAUGAUAGUAAUUUACCAAGGGUACUCAGCAGAGAGGCGUGAAUGAGGACAGAGUCACACUGUUAGUUGACAUCACUUCUUUAUGGCUUGCCUGAAUAUGAGGGGAAGGUGGGAA